UGAGGAAUAUUGGACAAUGGGUGAAAGCCUGAUCCAGCCAUCCCGCGUGAAGGAUGACGGUCCUAUGGAUUGUAAACUUCUUUUGUAUAGGGAUAAACCUAGAUACGUGUAUCUAGCUGAAGGUACUAUACGAAUAAGCACCGGCUAACUCCGUGCCAGCAGCCGCGGUAAUACGGAGGGUGCAAGCGUUAUCCGGAUUUAUUGGGUUUAAAGGGUCCGUAGGCGGGCCGAUAAGUCAGUGGUGAAAUCUCAUAGCUUAACUAUGAAACUGCCAUUGAUACUGUCGGUCUUGAGUAAAUUAGAGGUAGCUGGAAUAAGUAGUGUAGCGGUGAAAUGCAUAGAUAUUACUUAGAACACCAAUUGCGAAGGCAGGUUACCAUGAUUUAACUGACGCUGAGGGACGAAAGCGUGGGGAGCGAACA
rnacentral:rRNA from 2 species